rnacentral:lncRNA from 1 species
UUAUAAAUUACCUUGUUGCAGUGUAAAUAUCAAACAAUCUCUUUAAAUGACAGCAAUGGACAGCAGAACCCGUACAAAAGAUUAAACUGUAAAAAAUUUGACUGUCAAGGCUUGGAAAUAGAUCCUAUUUAAGACAAAAAGAAUCAUUAGAGGAUUCCAUUCUCUCUCUUCAAAUGAUUUGCCAGAAUGGAUAUAAGUAGAGGUGGCCAAUGGGCCGGACGACACGAGGCACGGGCACGACACGUGUCCAUACAGUACAACACGGCACGAACACGUUAGAGCACGCGGCAUGGCACGGCACGCACGUGGGUCGUGCUGGGCUUAGAUUUUAGACACGUGGGCUUUAAAAGCACGACACGAUUAGAGAUUGGCCAAAGCACGGCACGCAAAAAAACACGCAAUAAGCACGUUUCAUUUUUUAAUGAAAGUAAACUUAAAAUUUUAUGAUUUUAUAAAUAACUUGAAAUUGAAUCUUUAAUAUAUUUUAUUGGUUCAAGUUUUUUAA